rnacentral:rRNA from 1 species
AUGACAGAUGCAAUAGCAAAGUACUGGUGGGGUGAUGAUGACAACCACAAGCGUAUACAUUGGGCAGCAUGGUGGAAACUUUGUGUGCCUAAGGAUAGAGGAGGACUGGGGUUCAGGGAUUUACAUAGCUUUAACCUUGCUCUACUUGCCAAACAAGUGUAGAGGUUGCUGGAAAACCCGGACUCUCUUUGUGCACAUAUUUUGAGGGCCAAAUAUUAUCCGGAUAAAAAAUUAUUAGAUGCUAAAUUGAAGAGUGGGAGCUCGUAUACGUGGCAGAGUAUUUGUGUUGGGAUUAACACGUUCAGGAGAGGCACCAUAUGGCGCAUAGGAGAUGGUUCACAAGUGAAUAUCUGGUCUGACCCGUGGAUUCAGUCUAGUGCUAAUGGACAUGUCAUUACACCAGGAGGUACAACUCUACUAUCUAAGGUUUCUGAUCUGAUUGAUCCUGUCACCGGUCUAUGGGAUCACGAGCUGAUAAAUAGUGUGUUCUGGCCGGUGGAUGACCACCGAAUCUUGUUAAUCCCUCUGGCACUGAAUGGAAUGAUGGAAGACUUUGUGGCUUGGAGAUUUACAAAGAACCAUAUCUUUUCGGUAAGAUCA